AUUGAACGCUGGCGGAAUGCUUUACACAUGCAAGUCGAACGGCAGCACGGACUUCGGUCUGGUGGCGAGUGGCGAACGGGUGAGUAAUGUAUCGGAACGUGCCCAGUCGUGGGGGAUAACGUAGUGAAAAUUACGCUAAUACCGCAUACGAUCUAUGGAUGAAAGCGGGGGAUCGCAAGACCUCGCGCGAUUGGAGCGGCCGAUAUCAGAUUAGGUAGUUGGUGGGGUAAAGGCCCACCAAGCCAACGAUCUGUAGCUGGUCUGAGAUGACGACCAGCCAAACUGGAACUGAGACACGGUCCAGACUCCUACGGGAGGCAGCAGUGGGGAAUUUUGGACAAUGGGCGAAAGCCUGAUCCAGCCAUUCCGCGUGCAGGAUGAAGGCCCUCGGGUUGUAAACUGCUUUUGUACAGAACGAAAAGGUUUCUACUAAUACUAGGAGCUCAUGACGGUACUGUAAGAACAAGCACCGGCUAACUACGUGCCAGCAGCCGCCGCCG
rnacentral:rRNA from 1 species